AACUACGCUUAAUAAGUUCUGGUGAUAUGAUUACCGGUAUUACAUUUUACUAAAUAUAUUUGUAGUAACAUUAUAAUUGUACAAAACUAAAGGGGAAAAAAUUGCCUCACAAAAAAAUUUCAGUCUGACUCCUUAAAUUUGCAAGUACUUAUUCUUAAGAUUGAGUCAUAUGGAAUAUUAAAAAGUCUUUGUCUAUUAAUUUUCUUGGAAACAAGGUUCAAUCCAUGAUAGGCCUGAUUGAUGAAGAAAGACUUCAACUUCUGUAUCAUGACCUGUUUUCACCAGCCUGAGGUAGUGAGGUUUCAUAAUUUUGAUUUUGGUAACUAAUCCAAUCAGUACAAGCUAUAUCUAGUUUUAGAUGAAGAGGCAAUCACUCAAAUUCAUGGGUUUUAUUUAUUAGAUAUUAAGAUUACAAGCCCAAGUCAAUUUAGGCUUCUUCCCCAAAUAGCAAAAUAACAUAUUUUAUGAAUUAUCUCACUAAUGUUGCAGGUGAUGAUGAUGAUGCACACAAGAUUGAACUUUAAAGAAUAGCAUGCUUGUGAAAUGAGUAGCCCAAAAUGCUCUAUUGCCCAAUAUAAUACAGUUAUAUUCUGUGCUCUAGUGAACAUCACAGCGACAAAGGCUGAUGGUGACGGGGGUAUUCUUUGCUUUCACCCUUUCUUGAGUCGGACCCAUCUUUUGCAUGAUACCAUAUCAUCAUGCAAAGGAAGGCGUAGGCUGAGGCCACAUACUCCCUGGCCCUAUUGACAUAUUGAUUUGUUUGUAUGUUUACGUAGGCAGUGCAAGAUGAGGUAAUAAUUGCAGCAUCUAUUACACCUGACCAAUUCCAAAGUCAACCCAACGCUCUUCAAAGGUCAAACCUGUGACGAUCUUCCUUAAGAAGGGGGCAACAACAUGUUAAAAUGAAAUCAGUUGGGUUUUGUAGUGAUCAGUGAAAUAGAUGAAGUGUGCCAUAAAUAAAAUGAAUAAAUCAAUACGGACUGAUAGAUGCACCAGUGCAUGCUUGUAGAAUUUUGGCAUUUCAGAGUAUUAACAUCAUGUCUCUGGUAUUUGGAAUUUGUUGGAAAAUGGUGAACUGGGGACCAUAUUUCAUAAAGAGCAACACAAAAAUUGAUGGGCCAGAUGUGAAGGAUGGAUCAAAAUUUCUAUUAAAAAAUGUGAGCAAAGUGAGUGAGCCAAGAAACAUUUUUAGUACAAAAUAGAAUUUUAAAAUAGAUUUAGACAUUUUAUUCAGAAAAUAAUGUAAAUAUAUAUAUAUGUCACUUCCCCUUCCUUUUCUCCAUGGUAAAAUAGCAGGGUGAAAUAGCUGGGAGUAUUAUAUCCUGGAAAGGUUUCGGGAAAUUAUAUAGGGGUACUAUUUUUGAUAAACAGAAGAAUAUAUAUUUGUGGAAUAGUUAAAAACCUGUGGUCAUGCAUGUGUCCUGCAAGAAGGUUCUUACUAUCAUAGCUAAUUCAUGUGUGAACAAAAUGAUCCAUAUUCUGAUUAUAGUCCAUAAUUCUAGUAUAUUUGCAAUUGCAGAUUCACCACAAGACGACAGGCACUCAGAAAUUCAUGUCCUAAAAUGUUCAAGAGUGCCUAGAAAGUCAGAUAAUCGUGAAAUGAUAUAUAUUAGAUUGAUCUAUUUAAAGAUCACUACUCUAGGUACUUCACAAAUUUCUUUUAUAUUUUCUGAUAACAGGGAGUGUUUGCCCUGCGAGAUUUAGAACAUGAAUUAGGAAGGAAGAGCCUAGCACCUCUCUAUAAGGGCCACCCAUGUAGCUCUGCUACAUUCAUAUUUAGAGGUUGAUGAAGAAACAGUGUAUUUUUAGUAGAAUUGUAUGGGAUCUUGGUGCAACAAAAGCCCAGGCAUGUUGUUUGUAUGUUACGUGAUUUACACUGUAGGUUAUGAUUGAAAUUUUUUGUCCUUUUCCAGAAAAUGUAUGGAUUGUUCGUCGAUUCAAGUCUAGUAGCGGAUGUUACUGAAGUUUAUGUUUUGUUUCAGUCGAUGUUCUCCGGGGAUGUUCUUUUUAAAUUUGGUUUUCUUAAGACCUUUGGCAGAUUUUUACUCAUUUCUAUAUUAUCAGUGAAUUUAAUUAGAGGCAUAGACAAAACGAUUUGCCGUAUAGAUAGAUGAAUGAGAGAAUAAAGAUGUAGUUGUAUCCAUAGCUGAGGCUAUGCAAACGCAUUGAAGAAAAUGGGGAGAACAUACUGUGCAAAACUUUGUUCUAGAACAGGUUAACGAAAGAGAGAGAGGAAGAAGAAGAGGGAAGGAGAUCUAAAUGAGCGAGCGUAUGACGUCUUCAGUGAGAGUCGGCGAUACAGUCACAACGCUCUGUCAUGCAUAUACACACCAUCGUUGGGUUCAUCUAGAGGACAAAGUUCAAUGGAAAGUGCACCCCUUCUUCCUCUUAUUCUCCUCCUCUUGCCCCGACUCUCUUCUCCUUUCCACCCCCUCUCUUUUGCUCUCGCUCUCUUGCUCGCCCUCAGGCAAGCUGUCCAAGGAGCUUUUCGUCUCUUUCUCGUAAUGUGUCGAUUCACGGCAACUGGUUUAGUCAUUGGCCAGAAAAAACGUUCCCUGAGAAUUCAUUCUAUGGCUCUCUCCCAAUCUUGCAUCUCGGCACCCAUCUUCACUACCCACCCUCCUUCCUCUCAUUCUAGUAAUCCUUCAACUAAUUUCUGAAAUUGGAUCAUCAGAAGAUGGCUCAUCUCGAAAAGAUAAUGUUUGAAAUUAAAGAUGUUGUGGGCAAUUCCUCCAUGGUAAAUUGAUUUCUUGUGUGAUCAUCCAAGCAUGGCAUCCUGAGUGAGAGAUAGAGAGAGAGAGCUGUCUUAAUUUAAUGUUUUCGUCUCCUUGCAAAUUAGUUAGGGGGACCGGAAGCAUUACAUUUGUGGGUGGCGGAUGAUAGUAGAUGAUACCGUAUGGAGAUUCCCCUUCCUAAUUUCUGUCUUCUUAAGGUAACAUUGUUCUGGUUCUUGCAUUAAAAGCUCUGGAAAUUACCCCAAGAGCAAUGGCCUGGUAUGGAAAAUGAAUCACAAUUUUUUUGGGAAGAUCUUUAUGGUGACUUCAUGCAUAGACAGUAUUAAAUAUUAAUUUCCCCUCACUUACAUCUUGUACAAAGUGUUCUGAUUAGACACAAUUUCCUGUUUGUUAAUCAGUAGGAAAGUAAAUUAGACUUUGUUUAUUUACGUAUAGGCAAGGCUUCUUAAUUUUACUCAGUUUAACAGAAAAAAAGGUGGAAGAAUAAAGGAGCAAUUUAGUUGUGUUUAAGAACGUAUAAAAGAAAGCCAAGCCUUUGCAUGUCACUUCACUUUUCUUCAGUUGUGGCACUGAAAGACAUUCUUAAUUUUAGUUUUAGUAUCCAAUUUUGUUGUCAAAAGCUGCUCUUUUGGUUUCUACCAGUAUGUACGGCCCAGUGGAAAAUGUCUGAUAGAAACGACGCCGAAAGCUAUGGAUGGGACCAGUGUUGAAACAUCUUCACUUUCGAUUCAAUGUGUUAUGUAUAAUACAACAUUGCCAACUGGGAGUAAUGCUAGCUAUGUGUGAUAUGCUACAUGUAAUGAGUUACCCAUGUGCUGCUUACUGUCUAUUUCUGGCCAGCAGUACAUGUAGCUCCGUCUCCAUGCUUCCAUUUCAAAUUCAGAGCUUUUUCAGAUGAGUGCGUUCAGUCUUGUGCUAGUCAUAGCAUUUGAAUAACUGCCUAUUUUCUGGCAUUUUUGUUUGUGUUAAUGAAUUCAAAAGUAUAUAAUUUUGAUUGCAUAAUAAAAAAAAAAGAACCUUACCAUUGGGCAUUUAUAGAGUGACAAAUUGUCAAUCAUAGUGCAAAAUUGUUUAGGAAUUAAAGUGUGGUUGUUUGCAUCAAUUUUCUGAUUUGUUAGUGUGUUCUGAUCACGUUGGGCAUAACAAUUAUAUUAUCUUUAUUAUAUUUAUUGAAUAGCACCAUCCAUCCAUCUUUAUUCUAUUUUCUAUUAUUUAGUUAGAAAUGUUUCUCAGAUUGAAGUCUGGAAUAAACAUCAUGGCUGUAUUUCAAUUGGGAGAAUGUUAAAUUGUAUACUUGGGUGACUGACCCUAUAUUUUGCCCAAUAUACCAACUUUACCCAUCCUUUAAUUAUUUAUGUAUGAAAUGAUAUCUUGUAAAAUUGCCUUUGAAUUGGGAGAAUCAUGAUUCUACUGUAUUAUUUUUACACUCAAUUUUAUUUACUAAUAUGGCUUUCCCAUUGUAACUUAUCACAGUAACUAUUGAAGUGUUAUAUGUAAAGGUCUGUUUCAUUUUGUUGAUUGUUUUGAGUAGAAAGUUGAGACAGUCUUAUACCCCUUUCACAAACCCAAUAAUAUGGAUAAUAUCUGCAUAAUUUGGUUGUAAAAUCGGAGCGGGACCAGAGUUAUCCGCAUUAUUUCGAUGCUGCAAUUAUCCGCAUAAUAGCAGCAUCAGGACCAGAUUUUGGCUGUGUGAUCGCAUUUCCAAAGUAAUGCGGAUGAUUGCUAUGGUGUGGUCACAAAAGUUCACGCUUUUCCAACACAACCCUAUCGGAGGGGGCGUGUGCAGUUUCCAUGACAAUUAUUCGCCUUUUCAGGCCGGGCGCUCGUAAAAAAAUAGUGCGGGUUAUUUUCGGAGUUUGUGGAUGCAAUUUUUAUUGAAUUAUCCUCAUUACUCUUUGGCGGAUAAUUGGAGGAUGGGUUUGUGAAAGGGGUAUUAGUGACGCCACAGUGGGUGUUAAUUGUUAUCAUCAAAAACACAAAUCAAAAGUUUAUCAUGUCUUUGUUCUGGAAAUAUUCCGUUGUGUCUGCAGCCAGACCAUUACUUCCUGUAUUCUGAUUUAUUGAAACAUCUCUUAUCAGAUAAAUCACACAGGGGGAAACAUGUUUUCCUCACAAGUUUUGUUAAACAUUUCUGUUGUCUGAUUGAUAUUCAAAUAACAAGUCGGUUGAUGACUUUCAAACUUUUGAAAGAUGAGGAACAAUUAAUGGCAUGUGUGUCCUAGACUGUUGUGCGCAAUGACACUGAUGAGUUCAUUUGCUUUCAUUCAACAAUGUCUGUCAUUUUGGAAUUGAUCAAGAAGAAAGAAAGCAAAAAGGUUAAAAGUGGAACUCCAUUGACAUUUUGUGUUUUGGAAAAUGGAAGUAUAAUGCCCCUCAAAUGUUUACUUGGUAAUGGUUUUGCACUUUUCAACUCGGGAAUAUUUAUGUGUCUGGAUUGCAAAGUCAGUGAUUUAGGGGAAGGUAUUAGUUCUUAUUGGAGAAAGAGAGAUGUGAUUUAAUAUUCGGACUGGAUAAUUCUCAUUUACACAUGGUGUGAGCAAUCUUCAGAUAUAGGAUUGAGAAAUAUUUUAUGACAAAUCUCAAUAUUUUGUCGAAGUAUGAAUUUAUUAUCUUACCACUAUCAUGAUAAAAAGAAAGAAUAUUCUGAUUGAAGGAGAGCAAGAUUUCUUAUCACCUUUCUUCCCAAAAUAUUUGAUCAAUCAAUCAAUCACAAACAUAUGGGAGUUCAGAAAUCUGGAGAUUUCACUUGUCAGUGGGUCAACACACUUGAUUUUUUAAUCAGUAUAUUUUUGUAAACGAGGAAACUCGUUUGAAACGAUUUUGGCAGAAAUUGAUGUGGAGCUGUAUUGACCUUUAUUUAGAGAUUUGAUAAAGGAAACUUAGCAGGGAACAUGAUUGUCCCUUUACAGUAUACCCUGAAAAUAAUUAUCAUAUUGCUCAACAUUUAGUCAAUUUGUUCGGCUGGCAAAAUGCUGCUAACUCUUUGGACAAAUGUAUGAUACCAAAUUGCACAACGGUCAACUAAUCUUUGACUGGCUAAAUUCUUUUGGCCAAAUGUACCUGAUAUGUGAAUGAGUACAUACAGUAGGAUUCACAUGUGACCUUGAGUUUGGCAGACAAAAAUUCUCCAGACAUGAAACAGGUAUAAGAGGGGAUUAACAAACAGACUGCAUUAUGACCUAGAUAUUUCAUAAAUGUAAUUAUCAGUUAACAAUAGAGUCUCCAAAAUCAGCCUAUAUAUCAAGUCUUAUCUGCCAUGAAAAUAGAUGACAUUUGGGCAUUCUUUUAUGUCCUGGUUGGAAUGAAUCAUAAAUGGGAUUUUCCCUUCAGUUUUUCUAUUUGACUUUGAAUAAUUGAUGAAAAACCAUUUGAAUGAAUUUCAUAACAAUACACAUACACCGUAACAUUGAGAUGAAACACACAAGCAGUUUGGUACUAUAUAUUUUUGUACCAUUAUUUUUCUUGCUUAAAAAGCUUUGGUUCAGGGUGAAUAAUGUCAAUGAUACUUGAGCAUCAUCUAACAUUUCCAUU